rnacentral:rRNA from 1 species
AGCCCCGUACACAAAAAUGCACAUACUGUGAGCUCGAUGAGUAGGGCGGGACACGUGGUAUCCUGUCUGAAUAUGGGGGGACCAUCCUCCAAGGCUAAAUACUCCUGACUGACCGAUAGUGAACCAGUACCGUGAGGGAAAGGCGAAAAGAACCCCGGCGAGGGGAGUGAAAAAGAACCUGAAACCGUGUACGUACAAGCAGUGGGAGCACGCUUCGGCGUGUGACUGCGUACCUUUUGUAUAAUGGGUCAGCGACUUAUAUUCUGUAGCAAGGUUAACCGAAUAGGGGAGCCGAAGGGAAACCGAGUCUUAACUGGGCGUUAAGUUGCAGGGUAUAGACCCGAAACCCGGUGAUCUAGCCAUGGGCAGGUUGAAGGUUGGGUAACACUAACUGGAGGACCGAACCGACUAAUGUUGAAAAAUUAGCGGAUGACUUGUGGCUGGGGGUGAAAGGCCAAUCAAACCGGGAGAUAGCUGGUUCUCCCCGAAAGCUAUUUAGGUAGCGCCUCGUGAAUUCAUCUCCGGGGGUAGAGCACUGUUUCGGCAAGGGGGUCAUCCCGACUUACCAACCCGAUGCAAACUGCGAAUACCGGAGAAUGUUAUCACGGGAGACACACGGCGGGUGCUAACGUCCGUCGUGAAGAGGGAAACAACCCAGACCGCCAGCUAAGGUCCCAAAGUCAUGGUUAAGUGGGAAACGAUGUGGGAAGGCCCAGACAGCCAGGAUGUUGGCUUAGAAGCAGCCAUCAUUUAAAGAAAGCGUAAUAGCUCACUGGUCGAGUCGGCCUGCGCGGAAGAUGUAACGGGGCUAAACCAUGCACCGAAGCUGCGGCAGCGACACUAUGUGUUGUUGGGUAGGGGAGCG